UGGGGAAUCUUCCGCAAUGGACGAAAGUCUGACGGAGCAACGCCGCGUGAGUGAAGAAGGUUUUCGGAUCGUAAAACUCUGUCUUUUGGGGCGAACGUGAGUAUGGUGAACAAUCAUAGUCAGUGACGGUACCAAAGGAGGAAGCCACGGCUAACUACGUGCCAGCAGCCGCGGUAAUACGUAGGUGGCAAGCGUUGUCCGGAAUUAUUGGGCGUAAAGAGCGCGUAGGCGGGAUAGUCAGUCUGUUGUAAAGUGCGGGGCUCAACCCCGUGAUGGCAAUGGAAACAGCUAUUCUUGAGUGCAGGAGAGGAAAGUGGAAUUCCCAGUGUAGCGGUGAAAUGCGUAGAUAUUGGGAGGAACACCAGUGGCGAAGGCGACUUUCUGGACUGUGUCUGACGCUGAGGCGCGAAAGCCAGGGGAGCGAACGGGAUUAGAUACCCCGGUAGUCCUGGCCGUAAACGAUGGGUACUAGGUGUGGGAGGUAUCGACCCCUUCCGUGCCGGAGUUAACGCAAUAAGUACCCCGCCUGGGGAGUACGGUCGCAAGACUGAAACUUAAAUGAAUUGACGGGGUCAUAGCUGUUUCCUG
rnacentral:rRNA from 1 species